rnacentral:snRNA from 1 species
UCGCUCACUUUGGCAGCGUAUAUACUAAAAUUGGAAUGAUAUAGAGAAGAUUAGCACAGUCCCUGGGCAAGGAUGAAAUGCAACUUUGUGAAACAUUUUAUAUUUUU